rnacentral:rRNA from 1 species
GACGAACGCUGGCGGCGUGCUUAACACAUGCAAGUCGAACGGAAAGGCCUGCUUUCCCUUGUGGAUUGCGGGUACUCGAGUGGCGAACGGGUGAGUAACACGUGAGUGAUCUGCCCCCAACUUGGGUAUAAGCCUGGGAAACUGGGUCUAAUUCCCGAUAGGACUGCAGGGUGGUGCCUGUGGUGGAAAACGAUUUUCUAGUGGUUGGGGAUGAGCUCGCGGCCUAUCAGCUUGUUGGUGGGGUAAUGGCCUACCAAGGCGGCGACGGGUAGACGGCCUGAGAGGGUGGACGGCGCCAUUGGGGCUGAGAUACGGCCCAGACUCCUACGGGAGGCAGCAGUGGGGAAUAUUGCACAAUGGGCGGAAGCCUGAUGCAGCGACGCCGCGUGGGGGAUGACGGCCUUCGGGUUGUAAACUCCUUUCGACCGCGAGGAAGCCACCUGGUUGGAAGGGUGGUGACGGUAGUGGUAGAAGAAGCACCGGCUAACUACGUG